rnacentral:rRNA from 1 species
UACGGGGGGGGCAAGUGUUGUUCGGAAUUACUGGGCGUAAAGGGGACGUAGGCGGCCAACUAAGUCCGACGUGAAAUCCCAAGGCUUAACCUUGGAACUGCGUCGGAUACUGGAUGGCUUGAAUUCGGGAGAGGGAUGCAGAAUUCCAGGUGUAGCGGUGAAAUGCGUAGAUAUCUGGAGGAAUACCGGUGGCGAAGGCGGCAUCCUGGACCGACAUUGACGCUGAAAGCCGAAAGCUAGGGGAGCAAACGGG